rnacentral:rRNA from 1 species
UUUGAUUUCCUUCGGGACUGAUUAUUUUGUGACUGAGUGGCGGACGGGUGAGUAACGCGUGGGUGACCUGCCCCAUACCGGGGGAUAACAGCUGAAAACGGCUGCUAAUACCGCAUAAGCGCACAGAGCUGCAUGGCUCGGUGUGAAAAACUCCGGUGGUAUGAGAUGGACCCGCGUCUGAUUAGGUAGUUGGUGGGGUAACGGCCUACCAAGCCGACGAUCAGUAGCCGGUCUGAGAGGACGAACGGCCACAUUGGAACUGAGACACGGUCCAAACUCC